AGGACUUGUACCGGUGUGUACGGAGACCCGGGUGCCAAGAACUUGCUGCUCCCUGUUUGAGAUACACAAAAUGUCCCCAAGACACAGGACAGAGAAGCAGCGCCGGGGCUGGGGGGUUGUAUCCCACGGUGAGGCUACCCUAGGCUGUUCCUCAGGGUCAGGGGAGAAAUGAGGAUACCGAUCAAAGCGUUUGAUGCCUUCCCAUUGCCAAAGAGACAGCAGAAAUAACACUAAUAAGCCAAGAUGCUUCAUGGCAAAGCAGCAACAAGAAAACCCAAACCACCAAACAAAACACCGCAAAACUGUCCAGGGAAACACAAACUUUGGGUAAGAGGCUGGACAGCAAAGCUGUGUUGCAAUUUGGGCAGCUCCUUCUCAGGCUGUCUGGGCUGGUUAUUUCUGUUUGCCCUCUUGGUUUCACAUAAAAAAUGGGGAUUGGGAGAAGGGGGAAAUAGUGGAUGGGGAGUGGGAAACAAAAGUGUAUUCAAAAUGGAUUGUGAUCCCCAAAAAGAAACAGCAGAAAUACACACACGCUGCCUAGCCAUGCAAUACUGGGGUGGGCUAGUUAGUUUGGGGGCAGGCCAGGAAAAUUUGGGGGUCCCCCCUAGCACAGUAUCCAGGGAUCCCUGGCACCAGCAGCACGAGGAGUUUGCACCCCAGCAGCGUUUGCACCUGAGGGGUGGCCGGGUGUGCACGUGGGUGCAGGACACCAUCAGGCUUUGCACCCUGAGAGGUGGCCGGGUGGCUGCACGCACCCAGAGCGGGGGGCACAGCUGGGGUCUGCACCCCACAGGGUGGGAGGGUGGGUGCAUGGGUGCCUGCUCCCUGGGGCGCGGAACCCCAUCAAGCUUUGCACCCCACAAGGCAGCCCAGUGGAUGUUGUCUCAGGGUGCUGGACUCGGGACAGGCUUUGCAGCCCACAGCGUGGCCAUGGGCGUGCACGGAUGCCCACCCGCUGGGUGCCAGACCCACUUGUAUCCCACGGGGCUGCCAGGAGGAUGAGCCCACCCCAGGGUGCCGGUGCCAGACCUGGGCAGGGCUUGCACCCCACGGAGUGGCAGGGAGGGUGAGUGGGUCCCCAUCUGGGCAGGAUUUAGUACCCCCAGGGACGGCUGAUGGGUGCCCACCCUGGGGUACUGGAUC
rnacentral:lncRNA from 1 species